UACGGAGGGUGCGAGCGUUGUCCGGAAUCACUGGGCGUAAAGGGCGCGUAGGCGGUCGUGACAAGUCACUUGUGAAAUCUCCGGGCUUAACUCGGAACGGUCAAGUGAUACUGUCGGACUAGAGUACAGAAGGGGCAACUGGAAUUCUCGGUGUAGCGGUGAAAUGCGUAGAUAUCGAGAGGAACACCUGCGGCGAAGGCGGGUUGCUGGGCUGAUACUGACGCUGAGGCGCGAAAGCCAGGGGAGCGAACGGG
rnacentral:rRNA from 1 species